UUUUUCCUGUGAGAUUUCUCAUUUAUGGACAUGCAUGUGUGUGUUGAAUGGGCUCUAGCCGACAUCUGGACACCUACUGGUGCUGUUAUUGUCUCCUUGUCCUCUUUUGCUGACCUGCCUAUUUAUUCCACUGUGGGCGUGUAUGCUUCGACAUUUCAGAGGUGGCGCCUUCUCCUGGCCCCCAUGUUUUUCCCGCCUGCACACCUGGAAGUAAUUGAUGCUUCCAGCCAUUGUGGAUCUGUGGAGAGAAAAAAAGAAAAUCUGCAGAGAGAAAGAAACUUGUGAAGCAAAGUAGUUUUCAAACAGCCUUUGUUUAUUCACCUGUCUGCCCCCUUGCUUGCCACCCGGAAGGAAGACAUUCAAACAAUUCACAAGUCGCAAGUCAGUCUUUGACUGUGGAAAA